rnacentral:rRNA from 1 species
UGAGGAAUAUUGGUCAAUGGGCGAGAGCCUGCACCAGCCAAGUAGCGUGCAGGAUGACGGCCCUAUGGGUUGUAAACUGCUUUUAUGUGGGGAUAAAGUGCGUGACGUGUCAUGCAUUGCAGGUACCACAUGAAUAAGGACCGGCUAAUUCCGUGCCAGAAGCCGCGGUAAUACGGAAGGUCCGGGCGUUAUCCGGAUUUAUUGGGUUUAAAGGGAGCGUAGGCUGUCUAUUAAGCGUGUUGUGAAAUUUACCGGCUCAACCGGUGGCUUGCAGCGCGAACUGGUCGACUUGAGUAUGCAGGAAGUAGGCGGAAUUCAUGGUGUAGCGGUGAAAUGCUUAGAUAUCAUGACGAACUCCGAUUGCGCAGGCAGCUUACUGUAGCAUAACUGACGCUGAUGCUCGAAAGUGCGGGUAUCAAACAGG